GACGAACGCUGGCGGCGUGCUUAACACAUGCAAGUCGAGCGAGCGGCGAACGGGGGCGGAAUGUCUGGGAAACUGCCCGAUGGAGGGGGAUAACUACUGGAAACAGUAGCUAAUACCGCAUACCAUCGGAGGUGCCCAGAUGGGAUUGGCUAGUAGGUGUGGUAACGGCUCACCUAGGGGACGGUCCCAAGCUGGUCUGAGAGGAGGACCAGCCACACUGGAACUGAGACACGGUCCAGACUCCUACGGGAGGCAGCAGUGGGGAAUAUUGCACAAUGGGCGCAAGCCUGAUGCAGCCAUGCCGCGUGUAUGAAGAAGGCCUUCGGGUUGUAAAGUACUUUCAGCGGGGAGGCGUUACUCGCAGAAGAAGCACCGGCUAACUCCGUGCCAGCCGCCGCGGUAAUUC
rnacentral:rRNA from 1 species